rnacentral:ncRNA from 1 species
AAAGAGGAGGAGCGUGGCAGGUGGCUCAUGUUCGGUGUGGCGAUCUGGUUGCGGUCUUAUUUAAAAUAGACAUAAGCUAGUGGGCCAUUAGUUAACGCAAGGGCUAUGUAUCGCCCAUACCGAUUCCUAUUAGGCAUCACCUACAGUGAACGGCUAUCGGACCAGCCCAACAAUGUAUUAGAGCUUGAGUUUUUCUUCCUAUUUCCACUGUUUGUAGAAUUGUUUUUAGCGGGUUUUCUUUGGUUUUUCCUCUGGUAUUUUUGGUUUCCGGUUUCGACCUUCCCAAGGCGAUGAUCAGUAGUUGGUCCGAGAGGAUGAUCAGCCACACUGAGACUGAGAACGACCCAAACUUCUGCGGGACGCAGCAGUGGGGAAUUUUUCGCAACGGGCGAAAGCCUGACGGAGCAAUGCCGCGUGGAGGUGGAACGCCUAUGGGUCGUCAACAUCUUUUCUCUGAUAAGAAACAAUGACGGUGUCCGAGGAAUAAGCAUCGGCUAACUCUUUCUUUCUUUCUUUGAUUUUCGCUCAUUUUCUUCAGUUUUUUUCUUUUUUU